CAAAUUACCCAAUCCUGACACAGGGAGGUAGUGACAAGAAAUAACAAUACGGGGCUUAAUGUCUUGUAAUUGGAAUGAUGGGAAUUUAAACCUCUUCCAGAGUAUCAAUUGGAGGGCAAGUCUGGUGCCAGCAGCCGCGGUAAUUCCAGCUCCAAUAGCGUAUAUUAAAAUUGUUGCAGUUAAAAAGCUCGUAGUUGAAUUUCUGCUGCAUUGCUUUUGCUCCUUUACGAGUCUUUGCAUUGUGGCUUAUUUCGGACUUUGUUUUACAAUGUCCGGAUGUUUACUUUGAGAAAAUUAGAGUGCUCAAAGCAGGCUUUCGCCUUGAAUAGUUUAGCAUGGAAUAAUAAAGUAGGACUUUGGUUCUAUUUUGUUGGUUUUAGGUACCAAAGUAAUGGUUAAUAGGAACAGUUGGGGGCAUUCGUAUUUAACUGUCAGAGGUGAAAUUCUUAGAUUUGUUAAAGACGAACUACUGCGAAAGCAUUUGCCAAGGAUGUUUUCAUUAAUCAAGAACGAAAGUUAGGGG
rnacentral:rRNA from 1 species